rnacentral:rRNA from 1 species
UACGUAGGGUGCGAGCGUUGUCCGGAAUUAUUGGGCGUAAAGAGCUCGUAGGCGGUUUGUCACGUCUGCUGUGAAAUCCCGAGGCUCAACCUCGGGCCUGCAGUGGGUACGGGCAGACUGGAGUGCGGUAGGGGAGAAUGGAAUUCCUGGUGUAGCGGUGGAAUGCGCAGAUAUCAGGAGGAACACCGAUGGCGAAGGCAGGUCACUGGGCCGCAACUGACGCUGAGGAGCGAAAGCAUGGGGAGCGAACAGG